rnacentral:rRNA from 1 species
CAGCCGCCGCGGUAAUACGUAGGUGGCAAGCGUUGUCCGGAAUUAUUGGGCGUAAAGGGCUCGCAGGCGGUUUCUUAAGUCUGAUGUGAAAGCCACCGGCUCAACCGGGGAGGGUCAUUGGAAACUGGGAGACUUGAGUGCAGAAGAGGAGAGUGGAAUUCCACGUGUAGCGGUGAAAUGCGUAGAGAUGUGGAGGAACACCAGUGGCGAAGGCGACUCUCUGGUCUGUAACUGACGCUGAGGAGCGAAAGCGUGGGGAGCGAACAGGAUUAGAUACCCCGGUAGUCCCUGUCUCUUAUAC